AUGGAGAUGGAGGAGUCGGAGCUGGAGAGGUCGUCGCCGUCAUGGGGGGAGAAGGGGGCCCAGGAGAAGAGCUGCCGCGAUGGCCCUCCACCGUGGGGACUGGUGGAGGCUCGAGACCACCAUGGGCCUUUGCCCUCCGUCGUUGAACUCCACCGAGAUGAGCCGCUGUCCACCGAGAUGAGCGCGGGCGGUGCGGAUCCCGCCGGAUCCGAUGCCGCGAGUGGUGCGGUGGUGCCGCGGGGGAGGGUGGAGGUGCGGUGGUGGCUGCGAGGUGGUGGCCUAGGUGUGGUGUGGGGGUGA
rnacentral:rRNA from 1 species